UACGUAGGUGGCAAGCGUUGUCCGGAUUUACUGGGCGUAAAGAGCGCGCAGGCGGUCGUUCAAGUCGCGUGUGAAAGCCCCCCGGCUCAACUGGGGAGGGUCACGCGAUACUGAUCGACUCGAAGGCAGGAGAGGGAAGUGGAAUUCCCGGUGUAGUGGUGAAAUGCGUAGAUAGUCGGGAGGAACACCAGUGGCGAAGGCGACUUCCUGGCCUGUUCUUGACGCUGAGGCGCGAAAGCUAGGGGAGCAAACGGG
rnacentral:rRNA from 1 species